GUAAUUUGGGUGAAAUAUGCCAAGCAGGCAUGCAACAUUCAAUUCACUCCUGAAUAUAUUUAUUGACAAUUUGUCGGAUAUAUGACACAGUAAGUAAAGACUCUUGGUUGCAUAACCUGUUAUUAGAACUAGGAAAAAUUUAUUCUUAAGACUUCGCAGAUGGACAUGUGCGUUAUAAUAUAAGUAGUGUUAUAAUUAAAUAAUCUCUAAAAAGCAGCGGUAUUGUUGCUUAGGAAUUUAAUACAACUUUAAGUGUCGUGUAUCGCCUUCAUGGAUAUUGGAUACUUUUAUUAAUUUGAUGAUGUGAACUCGAUAUACACAGCACAC